UUGGUUGAUCCUGCCAGUAGUGUAUGCUUCUCCUAAAGACUAAGCCAUGCAUGCCCUGAAUAAGAGGAAGCAAUUCUCUCUGAAUCUGCGAACGGCUCCGCAAACCAGUUGUAAACUAGAGCAAGCAAGCCUGGCGGGCUUCGGCCUCCAGGUGAUAUGGAUAACCCUGGUAAUUCUGAGGCUAAUACAUGACCGCAAAACCGGGCAGCCCAGCAAUGGAUGCUCGGGGAUGUGCGAUAUGGCUUGACAAUAACCGGGAAAGGACGCACACUCAGACCGCGCUAAAAAGGAUCGGGACUCUCUUCGGAGAACCUGGCCCCUGCGGCUCUUGCUGUGUGCUUCUGACCUAUCAACUAGACGGCAGCGUAAUGGACAUGCUAUGGUGACAACGGGUACAGAGGAUUAGGGUUCGAUCCUGGAGAGUGGGCCUGAGAGAUUGCUCAU
rnacentral:rRNA from 1 species